CAGUAGCCGCGGUAAUACGAAGGGUGCAAGCGUUACUCGGAAUUACUGGGCGUAAAGCGUGCGUAGGCGGUGAGUUAAGUCUGCUGUGAAAUCCCCGGGCUCAACCUGGGAAUGGCAGUGGAUACUGGCUCGCUAGAGUGUGUCAGAGGAUGGUGGAAUUCCCGGUGUAGCGGUGAAAUGCGUAGAGAUCGGGAGGAACAUCAGUGGCGAAGGCGGCCAUCAGGGACAACACUGACGCUGAGGCGCGAAAGCGUGGGGAGCAAACCGGAUUAGAUACCCCCGUAGUCCCUGUCUCUUAUAA
rnacentral:rRNA from 1 species